ensembl:lncRNA
UUUAUAAUACUUUGCUCUGCAUUUUCUGAAUAUGAUGUUGUUGUUGUUUUUGACACUCUCAGUGAUUAGCAGUCCUUGACUCUUUCAUAUUUGUGAUUUUUAUAAAUCAUUAUGUCUGUUUACAGACCAGGAAAAUGUCUACGAGAAUAUUUCAGAUGCGACACAAAGUCAAAAUUGGUGAUGAAAAUAACAGCUCUGCUUCUCUGAAAAUGUCAGCAGAGUUUGGAGGAGAAACGAUAACAAAGCAGCAGAAUGAGGAUUUUUCUUCUUAUUGGCUUACAAAAUUUCUGUUACAAGGACAAUCAGCUUUUCAAAAAUGGGCAGUGAGCUUCAUAUGAUUGAAAUUAUUUAUUUAUUAAAUUGAUUAAAUAUGGCUAGUUUUAAGCUUUUCAAAGGCAUCUGUGUGCCACAUUUGAGAGCAGCAGUCAGAAAAGGCACAAAUGAAUGUAAAAUGGGGCAUCCAAAUAAGUGUAUUACUGUUUGUACCAAGUAGAAAUAGAAACAAGUAGCACUUAGUGCAGGCAGUAGUGUUGUCAAAAGUACCGACCGCGAUACCAUUCGGUACUGAAAUUUAAAAAAACGUCCAUUUCCCACUAAGAUGUGUUGCAUAUCUGUUGAGUGUGUGAACACAAUGACCAGUCAGCGCGGUUUAAAGGUGCCAUGUGUAAAAAUUGAGGUAAAAAUAUCCAAAAAAUGACCUACACGCAUCAAAAGAAUGAGAAGAAAUAAGGGCGAUGAUGUCAUUAAAAAAAAUGUCAAGUUAUAGUGCUGCAGAGAUAUCAACCUUAAUUAGCAUUAGCAUUACUAGCCACGGCCCGACAGGUGUCGUAAUACCAGUUUCGGCCAUGGGAGGCGGUAUGCGGGCAACAUAACCACCAGCCAACCUGCAAUACACGAAUAACUCGCACGGCUUGUGGGCGUACUUGAAGCUGAUGUCAAGCAACCGCGCUCUGAAUCAAAAAUCAUAUCCAAUAAGAACAGGAGCCGAAACAGAGUAAACAUCGGCACUGCUUUCCAUCACUGGAGACAACUGAUGGACUUGAAAGAAAUGAAGUUCGACUCCGAACUUGCAACAUUUCUUUUGGAUUAGUAAGUAAGAUGCUGUUAGUAUUUCGCUAGAAGUUUGUUUUAUAUGUUUGCGUAUUUUUUUCGGGAAGUUAUAAAAUAGAAAUAUAUCGAAGGCUGUUCGAUAAACGUGCUAAUGUUAGCGAUGGCUAACCGUAGCUACGUUUGAUAAUUAACUAGCUAUAACUUACCCACAGAUCUGAUCCGGUUUUCACCUGUUAUCUACCAAAGCCCGUCUCUACCAAGCUGAUGCUAAAAUGUAACAUUACCUAA